AUUUUAAAAGGUGAAUUUUUUUUUAAAGUGCAGUUACAUCUAAGUAGCACUUGUACUUUUUUGUGUUAACGAUACAUUCAUCUUCAUUCUUUUUUUUAUAUAAUUUUUUAUCUUUAUUUUUUUUCUGUUUUUUUUUGUCACCCUCUACUAUCAAUACCACGGUGUCGUGACGACGCCGCUAAAACCCUCACUCCGAGGCUGCAACCCGCAGUGACUCCACGGUCGGCGUCGGUGUCGGCGAAGAUGCAUCAUCGUCGGAGCAGCAGAGAAUGAGGGAUGAAGGAGAGACGGGAAGCGGGCAGGAAGAGCGAGAGAGCGCGUCCGUCGAAAACUGUGGAGGAGAGUCAGAGAAGAAAAGAAAAAAAAAAUGCAAAAAAAAAAAGUCACAGCCCGGCCUUUAGGGGAUCGGAGGCGAGGAAGGUGGGGGCGUCGGGCCGACGUCGCUCUGUCUUCGCGCGCUCUUGGGAAGAGAAAGAAAAAAAAGAACGAGAAAAAAGAGAAAGAAAAAGGUAUAAGGGCACCUCGCUCGCUGGGAAGAAAAAGAAAAAAGAACGAGAGAAAAAAAGAGGAGAGAGAAAGAGGAAAGAGAAAAGGUAUAAGAGUAUUUUGGUCAGUUUGCUGAAAAGCGGACCGAAAUCUGCAAAAGCCAAAAAGAUGGCCGCCGAUUUUGCAAAAGCCCAAAAUAAGUGAUUUUUAUGCAAAUUGGCCAUUUCUUCGGCAAUCUAUGAAAUCAAUGUAUGAGCGGCCAUAGUAAGAAAAUAUGAUAGUGAUUUAAUAUACUAUAAUAUAGAGAGAGAGAGAGAGAGAGAGAGAGAGAGAAGAGAGAGAGAGAGAGAGAGAGUGCGGCUAGGAUGCUUAUGGAAGCACGGAGGGCUUCGUGCUUUCACUUUAUUUUCGAUGUGUCGGACUUCGAAUCGACGAUCGCUCCGUUAGACUUGAUUUAGAGUAUUUGAAGUGUCUAGAAAAUAAAUUUUUGCGAUUUUUGGAUAUUAUUUGCUAGUGAUCCUGAAUGGCUCAACAAUCAUAAACGGCUGGAAAUAAAAAUCUUACAAAAAAAUGAUGAUAUGACAUUAAAAUUUUAGAUCAAAGUUAUUGAUCUUGUUUUAUAUGGUAUAAAGAAUUUUCUAUCAAAAUUUCAUGUGAUUUGAAUAUUUCUACACCGUUAAACUUGCAACCGGCUCAUCACAACCGUUAAAAUUAUUGAUUUUGAGCCCCUUCGAUCACUAGGAAAAUGAUAUUGAAAAAUCGCAAAAUUUAUUUUCUAGGUACUUCAAAUACUCUAGAUCAACUCUAACGAAGCCGAUCGUCGAUUCGAAAAUCCGAACAUCGAAAAUAACUUGGAAGCACGGAGGCCUCCGUGCUUCCAUAAGCAUACCAGCACAACUAUAUAUAUAUAGUUAGGCUGGUAUACUAUCAGUAGUAUGGAGGUCUCCGUGCUACCAAGUUGUUUUCAAUGAUGCCGCUUUCAAAUCGAUGAUCGAUUUCGUUAGACUUGAUCUACACUAUUGAAAAUAUUUAAAAACUAAAUUUUAUAAUAUAUAUUUAUUUAUUUAUUUUAUAGAGAUUUGAAUUUCUAACCUACUGGAUAGGUAAUAACAGAUACUAAUAAGUAAUAACCACUAUACUUGUAAUGAUUAUGAUAAAGCUUUUUUUUUUAUCAUUUUGAGUACAAAAACUAUGAGGAUGUAUAUUGACUCGACCAAAAAUUUUCAAUGACUGAUCAAAUUUGUAUAUAUACGAUAAUAGUUAGGUUCAAUGAAUUUUACUUAUUGUCGAAUUAUGCACGAGAAACAUCAUUAGUAUAACUAAUUUUUUUGAUGUUGAUCGGUAAAUUCAUCGAUUCUAGUCGUUAUUUAUUAAACGAGUUGACCAAAUUCAAUGAAUCUUCUUCUUCUUCUUUUUUCUGCCGUAAAAAAUAAUUAAGUAUUGACUUAAUUAAUCUAAGUAAUGAUUUAAUGGUCGCUCUAGCUUAACCAAAAAGCCCUUUAUAAUUAAACUACGGGAUAUUCACUCAAAACGAGUCCAAAUUCACCACCUCUAACACCCGGGAACACGUCCACGUUCAAAUAUCGAUUUUGAAUUUCGAAAAAUAUUAUCAAAUGGUAAUUUCUCUUAAUCAACUGCUUUUCUUUUUUAAUUAAUCCAAUUAAUCCGAACGGUCCAACCCCGACGAUGGUGCCACGUGGCAGCUGUCAACGAUGGGUGCAGCACUAUAGACUCUACGUACAUCCAAGGUAAAAAUUGCAUGGAUACCCUCUCAACUAUUGCAAUCUCUGUAAAUGCCAUCUUACUUUAUUUUCUUUUUUAGCUUUUAAAGUUUUUGGAAUCAAAGAAUUUGAGCCAAAUAAAUUAAAACUUUCAUUAAGGCCUUGUUUGCAGUUAUUGCCUUUUUUCUAUUUUUUAAAAAUUUUGCACAAAAUAAUAUGGAAGAAAUUCAUCUGAGAUAUUUGUUUAACAAUAAAAAUUAAAAAUUUUAAAAUAUUACUUAUAAAUAUUUUAGAAUAAAUCAGCAUCUAUAACUUGGUUUGAGUGAGAAUAGUAAUAUAACCAACAAUAAUUACAAGAAAAAAGUUUUCUUCUAAUAUAUCAAAUUAUAUAAAACAAAUAUUCUAAAAAAAUUAAAAAAAAAUAACCAUACCAAAGGAGCCUAAACUUAACAUUCAUUUUUACAAUUCAACAAUUCAGAAAAUUAUAAGAAAUAAAUUAAAAUAAUUAAAUCAUAUGAAUAUUAACUUCAAUUUUUUUUAUCCAAAAAACGUGAAUAAAAUAAUAUAUAUAUACAACCACACACAUAAAGUUAAAGAGCGAGUCAAUAUAAAUAGUGAGGGGUCCUCCGCACAUUUUCCCUCCGUCCACCUCCCCUCUCGAUGACGUCAUCCUCGCUCAAAAAGUGUGCACACGACGACCUCCGUCCCCCCAAAACCCCUCUCAAUAAUAAACACCCCUCCCCCCCAACAAAAUCCCAAAUCCUAGAGAGAGAGAGCGAGAGAGAGAGAGAGAGAAACCCCUAAUUGCCCGGAGAGAAGAGAAGAAGAAGAAGAAGAGGCGAUGGAGGAUACAGACGAGGCCGAGAUCGUGUGGCCCGACGACGACGGCGACGGCGGCGGCGACGCGACUACGCGCCGCCGCCCGCAGCAGCGGCGCGGCGGAGGGCAGCGCCUCGGCGCCGAUCCGCAUCGCGCGCGUCGGCCGUCCUCCGAAUCGUGGGGCUAGGUUCGGCGGCGGCGGCGACGACGAGGAGGAGGAGGACGGCGGCGGCGGGGAGAAAGAGAGCGGCGCCGCCGCCGCACGUGUGCGUCGCGGCGGAGCGCGGCGGCGUCGGUGUGCGUGGGCAGGGGCGACGCUGAAGGCGCGAUCUCACGCAUUCCGGAACUUCGAAUCUGCGGAUGACCGGGUUCCUCGAGAUUUCACGUCAUCAAAUCAAUUAAAAUCGAUCGAUCGAUCGAUCAUUUGUAAAUAUUUUAAUUUUAAUUUAAUUCAAAUGAUAAUAAUUUCCGGCUUGAAGGAAUUUACGUUUUGAGCUUCGGCUGAGGUCAUUUUGUAAUCUAACACAAUAAUAAAUCGACAACGAUUUCAUUUUGUGUUUCUUUUUUUUUUUUUUAGUCCUUAUUUAUUAUUCCUUUGGUUCAGCUAUAUUCAAUUGAUAUAUAUUUCAUCACUUUUUUAGUCGAUUGUAAAAAAAAAACAAAAAAAAAAAAAAAAAAAAAAAAGCAUGAAAAAAUAUAUGAUGAUUACCAAAAUUAUUAAAUCUUACAAUAUUUUCAGUUUAGCUAAGCAUAGUGGGAAAAGAAAAAAUCAAUGAUGAGAGAAUGUCAAUGAAAAAGUAUAAAAAAGUAUAAAAAUGAGAGCUGAGGAGGUUCAGUUUAAAAUUAUGAGGAGAUUGUGUUACGCGCUAUUUUAUUUAUUUUCAUAAAUAAUGAGUUAUAAUAUGUUUUAUAAAAAAAUAUAUUCUUAUAUUUUUUUAUCCGAGUUUAAUUUGGUCUAUUAGCAUCAAACGGGUCAGAGUCGUACGUAACAAAGAUAUAAGAUUGAAUAUUUGUUUGAAUCUAUAAAUUAAAGGAAGCAAAUUUAGUCAUGAAUUGUGAAUCAAACAACUUUGUGUUAGCAAUUUGCUUUGCUUGUCAAAGUUGAGUACUCGUUUGCGUUUGGUAUACGUGAGAGAUGGAUCGAAGGCAUAAACUAGGACAAAUUUCCGAGACCAUGGACCCCAAAAAAAAAAAAAAAGCUGAAUUGACAUUAAAAAAAAAAAAAAAAAAAAAAAAAAAAAAAAAAAAAAAAAAACCAUUUUGAAAGUUGGAUUUUCUUGUAAGAUGGCAAUAUGGCAUUGACAUCAAGAAUUUGGCUUCUAAAAAGGAGAUUAGUUUUUUUGGUUUUUUUUUUCUUAAAAAAAAAUCUAGUUCCCAUUCUAAAAAUUAUUAUUAUACAUAUAAUUUCGGAACAAUCGAGGACUAAGACGCUCCUUCAAUAAAUGAGGAACGAAUGCUGACGUAUCGUACUCAGCAAUUGAAAUACUAACCAUCUGUACUAAAUAGUAACGUAACGUCUAAUUGCACCUUCAACAAGAAGAAUUUCUAUAAUUAUUUGGGGUUGAGACAUUUGGAUUAUGAAAUAUUUAUUCAUAAAUUAUUUUUUUUUUUCUCCCCUACAAUUAUUUGGGGUUGAGACAUUUUGGAUUAUGAAAUAUUUAUUCAUAAAUUAUUAUUUUUUUGAGAGAGAUAGAUAGCACACUAUCUAGUUCGUUUAUUUUAUUUAGAAAUAAACUUAACUGUAAAUGUGAAUCAAUUAGGAUUCGAAUUUGGAUCUCGAGUACCAACCAUCAAAUUCUUUGCCACUUGCUCUAGAGACGGUCGAUUUUAUUCAUAAAUUAUUGAACGUAAUAUUCUUCAAUGACGUGAGUUUGGUUCGUUGUGACCUACAAGCACACGAAACUAUCCACCAAGUUGUAUUAAUUAAGAUAAUAUGUAGCCCAUAUAUAUAUAUAUAUAUAUAUAUAUAUAUUUAAAAGUAUCAAAUCAUUGGUACUUAUAAAUUUUUGACUUUUGGAUUAAGAGAUGUGUGGUUAGGAUGAUGUAGGCCCUCUAGGAUUGAGUAGGUGGGUGGUUGGUUGAGAAUAUAUAUAUAUAUAUAUAUAGAUGAAAUGUUUCUAACAGCACUAAGUUAUUAACAAUAUUAGGUUUUCAGUAUUUGGAUGAAGGAAUGUACUGUUAGAAUGAUAGUGAUUUUUUAAGGUUGAGCGGAUGUUUGAUUGAAUGGUAUAAUCUAACGGAUGAAAAUAAUCAAAAAAAUAAAUUUAACGAUGGAAAACUUGGUAACACAAAAUGCUUACUGCGAUUAGAAGUACCUCAACCAAACUCUCUCUUUCUCUCUCUCUCUCUCUCUCUCUCUCUCUAUAUAUAUAUAUAUAUAUAUAUAUGAUUCUCUCUGCUAUACAUAUCUCACUUAAAUUUGAUUUAUUUAUUCCCAUCAUUUUCAUAUAGGUUUUAGGCACAAAUAGACCCUAUAUUUGCACCACAUAAUUUUUUAUUACAUAUCCUUCACAAAUCUCUCUUAAAUUGUGUAUUCAAAGGUACGUGUGAGAAUUAUAUAAUGGAAAAAUAUUUUGCCCAGCUGCAUAGGUUUACACUUUUUUUAGUUAUUAUUAUUUUUUCUUAUUUUCUCGUUUACUAUGAUAAUCAUUAUUCUACUGAGGUUCCAAAUUUAACCCUAAUUAAAACAUUCCAUAUCAACAUAGUGUAGUAAGCACAAAUUUACAUUUGGAGUCAAUUUGGUAUCGCUCAGCGACGCAAUUGCACAACCUUUCAAAUAAUAUGCUGCAAAAUAAUAUUUCUGUAAAAAUCCUCAAAAAUAGAAAUUAUAAUUUUAUAUUAAUAAUUCUAUGAUUGAAAUGGCCGUGUGUGUAUAUAUAUAUAUAUAUGAGCCCGGCUACUAUGCUAUUAAUAGCACGAAGCACUUGGUGCUACCAAGUUUUCCGCCGUUAGAUCUACCUUUUGGAUCAUUUUCACCCGUUAGAUCAUACUAUUCAACCAACCACCCACUCAACCCUAGGGGGCCCACAUCAUCCUAACCACACAUCUCUUAAUUCAAUGGCCAAAAACUUGGUAGCACNACUUGGUAGCACCAACGACUUGGUGCUAUUAAUAGCAUAGUAGUCUAGUUCUCUAUAUAUAUAUAUAUAGCACCCUGUUUUUGUGCAAACCAUGUAAAACAAUUGGCUUGUAAUCAAUGUGUUGGCUACGCACAGGUGUAACAAACAAAGAAACUGAUAUUACCAGAGCAGUAUCUACUUUUGUCAGAAAAAAAAUUAUAUAUUAUAAUAUAGUUGGAUAUAAUGUAUCUGUCGAGGCAACAGUAGAUAUUACUUUGGCAAUAUCAAUUCAUGUCCUAUAGAUAUACAUCACAUGAACAUAAAUGAGCUCCUAGUAGUGAUCACAUAUAUAUCACUAAUCGAUAAUGGUUUUACUUGUAUUAGUGGGUGGAUUACUCCAAAAUGUCAGCAAGAAGAGUAUUAGAGAGGUUUCUCGUUUAGAAUCAACGAUUGAUUCGAGAAUUAACGAUUCAACCGAUGAUCGAAACUACCGGCUCGGUUAAUGACAUCAAUAUGACAGCAUAGUCACAAGUUCGACAUUCGGAUUAAAUUUGACGAGGCUGAAGGGAUAAAUAGUUUGAUGAUAGUUCCGUUACUGCUACUCGAAGUUGACAAACUGUUCCUCGAGCCAAGAUAAGUACUAAUCAUUAGUACACCCACAAAUUUCUAAUCAUGGAUCCAAAAUUUCACACCUAACAUGCCAACUUUGUCACAUAUGGAACAAGCAUUAAAAAAAAAAAAGAAAAAGACAAUCAACUAUGAGACAUCAAUUGUUGUAUGAUGUGAUCAGAGUUUCUAAGCAAACGAUUAUUUUCAUUUUCUUUUUGUUUUCUUUAUUAUUAUUUAUCUCUCAAUAUAUCCCAAGAGCCAAGUCCAAUAACCAACUAGAAGAGAGAUUAGAUCACCACCUAGAGAUUACUUCAUGGUUUAUCCCUACUUUGUGACUUGGUAACACCACAAAAGUAAAUAAGAUUACCUAACACACAACACUGUCGUAAUUUGUUUGGAUUCUACUAAUAAUAAAUUAAUGUCUUAUCAUACGUUUUCACCAUAUAAUUUGAUCUUAUCCAAACUAAAAGUACCAUGCAGCAAGUUGUUUGACCUUAUUAAGCUUUAAGCUACUACUUAAACUUGAUUUCGACCAACCGAAUCGCUCCACGUCGGCUUGAAAAGCCUAAUCUGACUCUUAAUAGGAUUAAGCUCUUUGUGGGUGACACUACAUGACAAAAGUGACCCAGGAAGCUUCUGAGAAUCUCAAUAUCAUUAUGAGUCGGAUGUGUUGACAUUUAAAAUAAGGACAAAUUACUUCAAUGAACCCUUUUGGUUUGGUUGUUGAGAAUUUUAGAUUUUCAAAGUCAAAAAAUAAUUUUGUAUAAUGUGGCUCUUAUUCAUAGAACUUCUAGGGUUGUUUGCAAGAAUAAUCCUGCAUGUAGACCAGAGCUAAAUCCGGGAUAGAUAUGGAAAAACAUGCCGGAGCAUGCACAUUUGUCCGGUCCGAGUCCGGUCGAAAAUGAACAAGGUCAAAAAUGAGAGAGUUCGAAAAUGCUCGGCUUCGACCGAACGAGUUCGAAAAUGCUCGGAUUCGACCGGAUCGAGCGGGUUUAAGUUUAAUAUAGUCCUCGGGCCACAACAAGUCAACCAAAGAAAUGAAAAACUUGAGAUGCUAAGGCCAAUGGGCCUGAGAAUUUGGGCCAGGCCCAAGCUGACCCACAAAAAGUUGGGCCGAGCGGUCAAGGUUGAGUCGAUCACAGGGCCCAGAGCCUAAUGGGCCGUGGCAUAUCUAGAGCCUGAGUUUGGCUCUGAAGGACACAGUAACAAACUAAGAAAACGAUUCAUCUUAGCCCAUGCAUCUCGUUUUCGACAAAAUACUUAUUUAAAUUGAUUGUAAUUUUAAUUUAGUUGUAUGCAUAGUAGUGAAAUAAAACAAAUGUGAAAUGAUAGUAGUAAAAGACAGGGAAAUGACACAAAAGAAGUUUACACAGCAGCAUAGUUUCAACAAGUAAUCAGAUCCGCGCCACACUAUAAUAACCUCAUAGAGGGGCCAAAAACAGAGAGACAAGCAUUUAACUACAACUAGAAGAAUCAUCUUAUAGCAGCAAUUGCACUAAAUCUAGAGCUAAUGGGUAAAAGAAAACAGGUGAAAAGAAUAGCCGCGAGUGCUAAUAAAUAGAUUCAGAAAUUGGUUAAACUAACCAGCAGUAAGAGUUCUCACUCUCAAUCAACUAAGACCUUCCUGUUGGGCUCGAAUACAUACUUGAUAAGUGAGUCCUUGAUGGAUAAUAACUCGGGAAACUCCCGCUUCAACUUCGAAGCAUCCAUUUCGUUAUUGCUUCGUGGUGCGACUAUAACUUUGGCCUGUUCUUCGAGUGUAAAGUUGGCCCACCUGAAGUCGGGAUCUAUGUACUUCCUGUACAUCUCCAGGAUCUCAUUGUGGCUCACGACACCAGGAUUGGUGAAGUUCCAGAUGCCCCUGCAAUUUCUUUUCGCCAUCUCGACUGAGAUCGGCAGGAGCUCAUCCAAAAUAGUCAUGCUGUUCGGGAUGUUCACCACUUUGUCAUAGCGCGUAAUUUUAGUGAUGAAGUUGCGCGGGUUGCUUAAAUCAGAUGAUAUAGGCAUUCUGACUCGAAGGGUGCAGACAUUGUCAAAUUCUUUCAGAAGCUCUUCAACCUGCAAUUGCACCAAAAGCAGCUUUUUGUAUAAGCUCGUAAAAUCUGAAAAACAGAAGAUAGUGCCUGUGUAUCCUAGCUUCACAAGGAGCUUCCCUACUCCAAAAGGCAGCAACCAAAACUUCUGAGACCCAAAGGGAGAAGUUCUAAUACAAAGUUUCUGCGUCUACUACAGCAAAAGCUGUUGCACAGAUUGAUAAUAAACGAGUUGCUGAUACUCUUUUGAAGAGCUCUACUCGAAUAACAGUUCUCUAGAAGCUCCAUCCAGGCCAAACAGUGCUAUAGUUCGAAAAACAGAUUCACAAAGGCAAAUAGAAACUUACCAUCGCCUUGGUCUUUGAAUAGAAUGAGCCAGUAAAGUUUGGCUUAUCUUCCUCCUUGAACCCGAUUCCCGACCCUUGUGGGUGCUCAGCGUCGUACUCGAAUAUACACCCUGUAGCAUAGUUCAUCAUUAACAAUCCAUGCUCCCUACAAACAUCAGCCAGGUUUAACGUGCCCACGACAUUUGUCCGGAUAGUCUCGGGCUUGUGAGUCUCGCACCAGUCGACAUUGGGCCGCCCGGUCACGCCAGCAGCAUUGAAAACAUGAGUCGGUUUCAUGUCUUGAAUAUCCAGAACGAGCUGAGAACGCUCUUCGAGACGCCCUUUCCCAUACUCAAAUGGUAUCCCCUGCUUCUUGCAUAUCUUACCAAGAAGCCCACCAAUCCAUCCAGUCUUACCAUAUAUCAAGAACUUCAAAGGUGGAUUUUGAGGAGAGCUACUCUUUUGAACAGGAACUGCAUUUAUUGUUGUUUUCUGGUUGCUGCUUUCCUUUGAGGAGGAAACCAUCCCUCUGAUUUCUUCAGACCAGUUAUGCCUUUCAAUUCCAGGCAUCAUCAACAUCCUCGGAUGAGGCAAUAAAGCCCCUGAUACAUCUCCCCACCAAUAAGGAUUAUUCGUGUACCACUCUAUUGUCCUCCGCAGCCCCUCCUUCCAAGGCGUCCUUUCCGACCAUCCCAAAUUCUUCAGUUUUUGGUCAUCCAAGAAGUACCUCUGAUCAUUGAACGGUCUGUUCUCCACAAACUUGAUUACACUAUCAGCGUCCAAAUUGAAGAGGUUACAUAUAUCUCUCGCAACAUCAAUCACCCUCCUCUCUCUCUUAGUCCCGAUAUUGUAUACAUGUCCUACUUCUCCCCUGUGAAGAAUUACCUCAAAGGCCUCAGCAACAUCCUCACAGUAGAGGUAGCUUCUCACAUUAGACCCAUCACCAUGAAUGGGAAGUUGCUCCCCCCUCAUGGCAAGGAGAAUGAACUUCGGGAUGAGCUUCUCAGGAAAUUGGUUCGGCCCGUAUACAUUAUUUCCUCGAGUAGUAAUUACGGGAAGACCAUACGACCUCCCAUAAGCCAUCACAAGCAUCUCAGCCCCAGCUUUUGUAGCUGAGUAUGGAUUUGUAGGUAGCAGUUGAGAUGCUUCAUGAUUUCCAACCACGGCAUCCUCGUCGGUCUCCCCGUACACCUCAUCAGUACUAACAUGAAUAAACCUUCUGAUCUGACCAGUGACCUUACAGGCCUCGAGGAGGACAUGGGUUCCGUAGAUGUUGUUCUUUGUGAACUCAAAUGAAUUUCCAAAUGAAUUAUCAACAUGGGUCUGAGCCGCAAAGUGCAUGAUGGUAUCAAUAGAUUCGGUGAUGAGGAGGUAGUUCACGAGAUCGGCACUGCCAAUGUCACCCUUGACGAACUUAAAGUUAGGCGAUGAGCGGGAAGCGUUCAGGUUCUUUAAGUUGGAGCAAUAGUCGAGCUUGUCGAGAACCACGAUUUUGUACUCCGGGUAGCUGCGGAUCAGGCGGUUGGCUACAUGGGAUGCAAUGAAUCCGGCUGCGCCGGUGAUGAGAAUGUUCUGGGGCCUAUACGUCGACAUCUUCUUCUUUCUCUUUUCCGUAGACUAAAACUGCAGAUAAAAUCAUAAACGUUGAAAAAUUCAUAAGUUUUCAUGGCAUUCGAGGGUGUUUCACUCAUGCUCAGCAGAAGCUUGGAUUUUUUUUUUUUUUUUUUUUUUUUUUGAGAAAACACCAGAAAGCUCCUGAAAUCUCAGCCACUCGAAGAUAAUCAAUUACAGUGCAUAUUAAAACAACAUAUGUCUCUAAUAAUCUCUUAUAAUUCUACCACAUUUACCUUCAAGUAUUUACAUGUCUAAUUUGAUAUAAAUAAUAUCCAAUCUAAACUUUUCUCAACCAGUAUUUACAUGAUCAUAAAGAAAUAAUCACCCUAAAUUAAGCAAAUAAAUAUUCUUAGAAAACACCAACAUAGAAUGGAAUCACUUUGUGCAUAUACAUACCUAUCUCCCGCAUUUAACUACUAAUCCAAAUGGAGUUCCUAAAAUUUGCAACUUUGCGUCAACCCUAUGGUGUACAUAUAUUGCUACUCCAAAAUAAUCCAAAAUAGUUAACAAAAUUGAUUAAUAGAGAUAAAACAUACACAACCAUUUAUUCAAAAAUUGCAACUUUGCAACAUAUUCGUUCAAUUUUAUGGGAUCUAAAACUCAACUAACAUAAUCUACUCCAGAUCUAACAUAGAUCAAAAAAAUGCAAACGAAUGAUAUAAUUGAAGAGAAUUAAAAUGCAAAGCCAUAAUAGUCACGAUUUAGAGUUUCGAAACAUCACAAAUUGCUCUCAGAUCUAAUUAAAAAUGCAUCUAAAGAAAAUCGAGAGUAUUUUUCCCCAAAACGAGGAAAUUAGGGCAUAGAUCUACACAGAAAAUAAAUCUUAAAAAAAAAACUUACGAAAUUCGCGUAGGGGAUAGCAAAAGGAGGGGGAAAUGAAACGAUCGCGAACGCGCAAAUUAGUGGAAAAAAAUUACAUAGGAGUGGAAAAAAGGAGAGUCCGCAUAUAUAGGCGAGGGGGGAAGGGGAAACGCCUGGGUAGGUUCGUGGAACACAAUACGCGUGCGAACCCCCGCAUGCGACGCUUGUUAUGGAAAUUUGCUUGUGGUAACAAUGUAUGGAAACCCCCUUACCUAUAGAAUAUUCGGAAGACCCUCUCAACUUUAUUUCCUUUUUUUUUGUUGAAGUUCCCUUUUAAUUUUUUGGAAUCAAAUGAUUUUUUAUCAAACUUAAUAAUUUUAAUCACAACUAGUAAUAUUUUUAACUUAAAUAAGAGAAAUUUGAAGUUUUACAAAGUGUAUAAAUAAAAAAAAAUUAAAAUUUGAUAGGCCCAGUUCAGAAUAUUAAUAGUUGAGGGGUUGUCCAUACACUUGUACCGUUUGUUUUGUGUGGAUGUCGUACACAAAGGGGUCGCAAUAGGGGGUGAAUUGGAAAUUUGUUUAUUUACGCGGACCUGGUCUACCAUGGACCUGUCACUAGCCAUUGGAUGCUAUAUAAGGAGCAAAAGCACACGUUAAAUUAUUGACUGUCUUGUAGUGGUGUCGACGAGUCGAACGCAAGCAAGUUGGGUCGGUUCGUGUUCAGCAAACCGAACUUGAGCUGGCUCAUGAAAGUAUCGAACCGAAAAAUUCAGUUCGUGGAGUCGAAUACAAGUUGACUCACGAAUAACAAAUUAAAAAAUUAGAAUAUAUAUAUAUAUAUAUAUAUAUAUAUAUAUAUAUAUAUUGAAUGNACGUUAAAUUAUUGACUGUCUUGUAGUGGUGUCGACGAGUCGAACGCAAGCGAGUUGGGUCGGUUCGUGUUCAGCAAACUGAACUUGAGCUGGCUCGUGAAAAUAUCGAACCGAAAAAUUCAGCUCGUGGAGUCGAACACAAGUUGAUUCACGAACAACAAAUUAAAAAAUUUAAAAUAUAUAUAUAUAUAUAUACAAAAUAAAUUUAUGCAAUUUUACUUAUUAAAUUUUGAUCUGAUUUUUGAGUUGGGCUCUAUAUUUAGGUUGGCUAAAAUCAAGCAAUAAAAAUCUGACUUAUAUAUAUAAUUAUUUAGUUAUAUAUAGUUAUAAAAUAUAUAAAUAUAAAAAAUAUGUAUUCGAGCUGUUAUCGAGCCGAACACGAGUGAGCUGAUUCCAACUCGUAUUUAACUCGUCUAUUAAACAAGCUAAAAAAUUCAGCUUAUGUUCGACUCGUUUACUAAAUAAGUGAUUCGAUCUCAAACUCAAUUCGAACUAACCACGAGCUUGCUCGUGAACAGCAAGGUGGACUACCACUCUACUCUCUUGUCAUUGACGCUUUUUGUUAUCAAACUAUAUAGGAACCCUAUGAGUUGAUAUUUUAAUAUUUUGAAAGAUACCGACUGUUUCUAGAGCAAGUAGUAAGGGCUUGGUGGUUGGUACCCGAGAUCCAUCAUAGUUGAUUCGCAUUUUCAGCUAAAUUUAUUUCUAAAUGAAAUAAACGAAGCGGGUAGCAUACUACCUAUUUCUCAAAAAAAAAAAAAAAAUUGAAAGAUUUCAUGGUGACAAUCAACUGGACUAUACAGUAAUUAUUGUAACCUAUUUUCCGCUAUUAUUUAUAUAAAUAAAUAUAUAAAAAACUAACACUAGAUAAAUCAAGUACUCAAAUGUUUAUUUUAAGAUCAGCAUCCAUUUUUAUAAAAAAAAAGGAGCUUUUUUUUGGGAAUAAAAUCAUAAAAAAGCAGUUACUAGUUUCAGAUUCAGCUUAUGCCCUCACCCAACUAUUAUAUGUGAUAAUGUACUUAUAUCAAUAACCAUCUUAAUACAAAACAAUGCAUAUGACAUAAUUUUUUCACCUAGAUUAUAUUUUUUUUAAUGGAAUUUACAUCUAUGCUGUAAACGCGCAAUGAGAACCAUCAUUUGUUGUUGUGGACAGCUCGUUCAGAAAGAGACAGUACCACCACCUUUUAUUAUGAUCUUCAAAAUAAUAAUUUAAAAAGUUUGAGUACCGAAAAAAUAAUAAUAAUAAUAAAGGAGGUUGACAAAUUCAAAAAAUCUUAAAAAAAAAAAAGAUUUUGCCGGUGAAUAAGAAAAUUAUAUUCAGCAUAUUCUUUGUUGACCAAUCAGCAUUAAAUCCACUUAUGAAAAUGCCAAACAUAUAUAUAUUAUAUAUAAAAGCAUGUAUUUCAAAUUUAGGUCCAUCAAUAGAUUCAUUUCAAAUUUUCACUUUUUUCGCACGCAAACAUAAAAAAACAUAAUUUUAAUUUCUCUUUUUUUUUCAACUAUUAAUAUUUUUUUUACUGUUUUAAAAAUAUUUUUUUUAACUAUUUUAGCGUUAGCUUUAUAAUAAUAUUUAUAUAAUUUUUCAAUAAAUAAGUUUCCUGAUUUAUUUUUUAAAGAAAUAUUCAAAAUUUGAAUAUUUUUAAUUUUUUUUAAAAAAAUUAAUGUAAAAAAAAAAGGAAAAAGAGCCGUGCCGGCCCGGUUAGAGCCGCGCCGCCCGCGUGUGGGCUGUGUGGCCGAACAUGACAGGUGGCCUUGUCGGGUCGGGUCGGGUCGGGCCGGGCCAGGGGCCAUCUGGUUAAUUUUAUACCCGACUACAAUCUCCGUCGCUCUCGAAAUUGCAGCUACUAUUUUCGCUCUCGAAAUUUCCAACUCCAUUUUUAAUUCGAUCCCCGUCUCCGAUUCCGAAACCCUAGCGCCCCAAUCCACACCGCAACACUCCAUGCCCCAAUGUGGAAUCGCGUUCACGAAGCGACCUAUCGAUCUCGCAGCAACCGUGAGUUCCGAUCCAUUUUUCUCGCAAUUGUAGCUUCAAUUUCCGUAAUUUGCAUGCUAUAUUUCCAUGUAAUCGAAUCAACAAAACCCAGUUCCCAAAUUGCUUCUCACGAGCUAACGCAACCCCAAACCCUAGCUUCUGCAAUUCACCUCGUGCCCAGUGUUGAAUUCACCAAUGGCACGGUUGCAAUGUGGCGAAUCCCCGAUUCGCCGAAAGCCGCCGUCUUUGUCGCCCACGGCUGCAAUUGCCGGGCAGCCAACUUUUGGGACAAGUCCCCGAGCUGCCCGGAUUGCGUCGGCCUGCCCGAAGAUCGGGCCAUCGUGCUCCGCGCGCUUAGCCGGCGGUUCGCGGUGUUGACAAUUUCGAGUGCUGGUAAAUGUUGGUCGGUCCGAAAGGACUUCCGGAAUGUUAAGUGGAUCAUCGAGCGGUGGGUCGCAAAGUAUAAGCUCGAAAAGCUUCCUCUUACGGCGCUCGGGGCGUCGUCCGGCGGUUAUUUUGUUUCCGCGCUUGCCGCCGAGGUGCGGUUUAGUAGCAUUGCGCUUAUGAUCGCGGAAGGGGUGUUCGGAUCGACGGACAUGCCGGUAGUCUAUCCGCCGACCCUUUUUGUCCACAUGCCGAAGGAUUUGCGGAGAGCGAAGUUGAUUGAGAUGAACAUGGAGUUGCUACGGAAGAAGGGGGUUCGAGUUAAAGAGAUUAGGUGUUUGGAGUCUCCUUUGACGCCGACACUUCUAUCCGAGAGGAUACCGGGGUUGAAUGAAGAAUUCUCUGUUGAGCUUUAUGAGCUGUUUCGGGAGAAAGGGUUUGUUGACGAGAAGGGGUUUAUGAGAAAGGACGGGCGUGUGACUCGGUGGAAGCAAGCGGCAGAGGAGAGAGGGCUUUUGUCGGGGAAGUAUGAGUGGGUUGAUCAUAUACAAGAGGAGUUGAAUCUUGCGUACGGGUACCAUGAGAUGACGAGCUUGCAGGCCGAUGAUAUUCUUGAGUGGUUUGAAGUUAACAUGGAUUGAGCUGGUUCUUAGAACUGUGAGAAACAUGUUAUCUUUGGUACUGUGAAAUCGCCUUUCGUGACGAAGAAUAUACACUUGCAUCCCUCGGAAAGUUGUUCAGUAGUUUGAAGAAGUGAAAUAUCAGGGACCAUACACGGAAAGACAGUUUGUAGAUGAGAACAUCCACGGAAAGGUGAAGAUUGUGCAUGCUGAUUAAAGUCGAGGAACCCUUGUUGCUAUUACAUCAUUAGAGUCAUGAUCGAAAUAGACCGACGAUGCUUCAAAAUCUGGAACAAAUUUUGUCUGUUAAGUUUAUGCAAAUAUUUUGUCGUGAUUGGUGUCCAUUGUUUUCUUAUUGAACAUAUUGCUAAUAUAGUGUCAAAUGCUUUGUGAAUGACAAGCAUUAAUAAUCCUCCGAGGUUUUAUUGGAGUUGAUAGAUAGGGGUGUUAAGAUCAUUUUAUCUGGACUAAGUAGAGUUCUUUACAAUUGGUUUCUUUUGGCUCUCAAAUUGUGGCUCUGCGUAAAACAUUUUCUUUGAGGAGAUUAUUUAGAGCAAUAGAUGUGAUUACCCAAGUUUCCAAUAUCUACCUAAUAUGCGCCUGCUUGGAUAACAUGUUACUUCUAAUUGGAGAUUUUAGUUGAAAAAAAAAAAUCAAAUGUCUAUUUUCUAAGGUGGAGGUAAUGAUACUUCGUCGAAAUAAAACUUGCAUUAUUUUCCAUCUAUUAAUUCAAUAAAUGAGGUCCAUGGUUGUUUUCAGUCACGUGAAUGACCGUUAAUUACUAUAUUUUUCUCUAAUUCCUGAAUUUUUUUGCAUUUCUUUAAAUUUUUUGGCCUAGUAUCUGGAAUAGUGUGACAAGAACACCUUAGGGAGAGGAGAUUUGUCGAGCAUCAUAUUGCUUAAAAUUAGGUUGUUUUUGAGGGGGAGCUCUAUUAAAUGCAAGCUCUGGUGGUGCUAGGGUGUGCCGUAUACAAUAAAUUUUCAGCCCGUUUUAGUCUACCCUAUUUGAAUUGAGGUUCUUCUUAUCUGUUUGAAAGAACCUUCUGGACUGAACUUGUAUGCUGCUUUCAGAGUUCUAAAUCUUGCCUUGCAGGCUUUGCCUGUGAUGAGAAAGUGCAAAACGGAUAGUUGUUCUCUUCUUUUUUAUUUGUCUCGAUAUCUUAUCAUUACAAAAUGCCUCCUUCUCCACUAAGUUCUAUCAUGUUAUCUCUUCAUUUCUUUUCAUCAUUUGUUUCUAUCAUGUUAUCUCUUUAUAACUAUUUUUCCCUCAGUGAGACGUCUGCUGUUUGCUUAUCUCUUAACAAUUUUUUUUGCACCCUAAGGCUUGAUUGUUCAGCUUCUUUAUUCAAAUUUGCAAGUUCUUGUUAUUGUUGAUUAUUUCUUGAUUUCUGGUACAGCUUGACUAGUGCAUUCAUAAGUUAGAAUUUUACGAUGGCUAAUCAAUUUACUGAACAACACAUUAUUUUGAACAUGAUCAGUUAUUGAGCUCGCUUUUCAUACUGUGAAAUUUUUAUCAGCAGUCAUUUCAAGUCCUUCUUUAGACCUUUUUCAAUCAAAUAUUUGAGCCUUAUUUGCUCUGUGCUGUAUUUAACAAUCCUAGUCCACUGAUAACGCAAUCAAUCAGAUCUUAGCAAUAAUUUCCCAUGUAUGCGGAACAUUUUCAGACAAAUUUUGCAUGCAAUAAAGUUCCAGAUUGUAUUUUCUUCUUUGGAUACAUUUUACCAUCAUACCAGUUUGAAACCAAUCCUGUUCUUUGACUGCAUCAUUAUGCUAAUCUAAAUAGCAGACCCAUGCGUGUUCAUUUAUUUAGACUUGAAUGUGUGACAUGAAUUUUGUGAUAUAAAUUUCGUACGAACCGAGAAUCCCCACCUCAUUGACUGUGUCCUGUCCUUCUCUGUUUGUGUUAUUUUAGAAUUUAAUGAUCUCAGUAAGACCUUCGUAUUAUAUCAGUAACUAUGAUACAGAAACCAACAUCAUAGCAAUAAUUUUCCCUCACCAAAAUAUGUCAACAUAUUUUUCAUACAGGAUUCACUGUUUAAAGUUCGGUGCUCUGUGAUUUUCAUUUAAUAUUUCCAUCUCUCUCUAUAUAAAUUUCCAUAGAAGAUCACAUUAGACCUAUGUAAUUUUAGCAACUGUAAAUAAAUAACAACAAGCACACCAUUAUAUCUUUGGUCACCAAAUAUAACUAGCAUUUCACUUAGACAUGGUAACACCAAAAACACAUCAUUGUUCAUAACACCAAACACAGCUAACUCAUCAUAAACACUCAAGUUUUUAGCAUGCAUGUUACGUUAAAAAAACAACUUAGGGAUACAUAUAAUAAAGAGGCAUAUAUUAUAAAAAACUACUGAUGCUUGAUGUGUCCUUCAUUGGCCUUCCUAAAGAGCUGAGCCUGGGCCAUGGCUGAACGUUCGGAGCUGACUGCGGUCAUGAAUGCAUCCCUCACUUGCUGCGUCGUGAAUGCGAACCGCUUGUUGAUAAGAGAGUUGAGCAGAGACGCUGUGCCUUCUCUGUAGAGGGCCCCGAUUCCGUCGGCACGUGUGUUGGACAGCGCCUCUGGCAAGCUGAGGUUCCUCCCAAAAGCCGAAGCUGCCACCGAGCCGAAGAGUCUGCCGACAGUGCCCCAGUACCCAAGGACGCCCCAUAUUAUCGCUGGGUGGGUUCGCCAGAAGCUUCAAAGCAGUCACGUGAAAAUGGUUAAGAGAUAAAUAUUUUUUUCUGACCUUUUAUUUUACAAUGAAGUUUACUCUUUUUUAUUGUGGGUUUGUGUAAGUUGCGUGUUUCUUUUGUUUUCGUGAUUAGUUCGCUUACUAACUUUUAGAAUCUUGGUUGUGUAGGGAUAUUUGUGCAAAAGGGAAAAGAAAGCAGAUUAUUUCAUAAAAAAGCAAUUUUUAUACAUUUAAACACUUGGUUGAGUUUAAGAUGGCUUACUUGCAAGUGCCGGUAAAGAAGGGUGGGAUGUUGGGGUCGAACGGCGAGGGAGUCGACGGAGGGGUGGGGAUCGGGAGGAACGGAGUUGGCGGCGUUGGCGGUGUGAUCGGAACGAGAGGGCUUGGUGUGAUAGGACCCACAAGCGGAGGGGAGGGUGGAGUGGUGAUGAUUGGCGUGGGUGGGUUAUUGUACCCUCCUCCGCCACCCGGAGGUGUGGGUGGGUUGUAGUACCCUCCACCGCCACCGCCACCGCCACCGCCAUGCGGAGGCGUUGGCGGCGUCCCACCAUAUGACGGCGCGCCACCGUGCGACGGCGUCGGGCAAUUGGAGGGAGUGCUUGGUGGUGAAUCUGCACCAUAUCAACAACAUUACUAGACAGAGGUACGCAAUUGUUUCAUAGCAACUAAUCAACCAAGAGAGAGGCCCUUUGUGGCCCCACUUUUGAGAUGUGGUUUGGACCAUCACUACAGUAAUAACCCGCUUCGGGUUUGCUUUUUUGCAAUGUGGUGCGACUUGACACCAUGCUUGGAGUUUAUAUAUGCACACCGCAAUGCAGUGUGUUUGUAGUUUGAAAUUCAUUACUGAGCCAAAGAGGCCCUGGGAGAAAGAUAGAGAGAGAGAGAGAAAUAGUACUUACGACUAUGGUGGUGGGGAUCAGGAGGGUAGUAGUUUUUCUGUUCGGUGAAACCCCCUAGUUUCCUAGCCAUUACCGGGGAUACAACUCCAUUAGAAACCAACCCCAGUAAGAGAAAACACAUGAGAAGAGCCAUUCUCUUCUGACCCUCCGCCUCUUUACCUUUAACCCAAACUCAAAACUCACUAGAAACUUGAGAGAGAAAUAGGUGGUACAUAUAUAUAUAGAUACUGAGGGAGUAUAGGUGUUGUGUACUACUCACCACCACCUAUAUACACAAGUAAGAGAUAAGAGAUAAAUUAUAUUGAAUUCACAGCACUGCAACAAAAGACAUAAAUGCAUGCAGAGAAAGACCAAGUAGUUAGUUGAAAACUUGCAGGUGCAUUUAUAAGUUGUAAAUUUUGUGGUACAAACCCAGGAAAAAGUGGGGGACUAUUGUAGAGGGGAGGUAAAGUGAUCUAAUUUGCGUAACCUUAGAUUUGGAAAAGAUUUUUCUUCUUAAAUGAAUGCGAUGUCCUCAUUUAGGCUUCUAUAGGAUACAUGGGGCUGUUUCUAGCAACAAAGAUAUGGUAUGGGUAAGUUUGAGUAUACACAAGUGAAAUGCUUAUUUGGAUAGGUAAUUAAGAUAUGCAAUGAAGGAACUUAUUUUCACUGUUUCAGGAGAAAUUCUUAGUUUCCUAGACCCAGUCCAUGGUCUAGCACUCCUAAUUUUGUUUAAACUGUUGGAUGUGAUCUACAUCACCUGAAAUUUUCAUACCGUAAAAAUUGUAAUUUUGGAAAUCAUACUUAUCAAUUAUCAUUUAACCAACAAGAGCUCUCUUUUUUUCCCUUUCUUUUUGAGAAUUUGGAUUUUGGUCCUUUGCAUGGCAACUGCAACUUAAAUGUAAGAAUCCCUAAUAUCGACCGGGUUUGGCAUCAACAAUAGCUCUUUUAGCUCCAUGAUCUUUAGGACUACUAAAUGUCUCAGCAGUAGGUUUUCAAAGCUUCUGCUUUUUCAUAGCAAGUUGUUUAGAUCUUGUAGAUCACAUCUAAUGGAGACUUGACAUUUUGAUUCUGAAGUCUCUAGGGUCAAAAUUUAUGGACCAGUUUUGGAAUGAUGUGGUGGACUAGGUCCAUGCAAUAUUUUCUUUCUAAUUUCAGGGCUUUUUUUUUUUUCCAUUGUCAGUGCUUCAAUUUAAUGAGGACAGCGAGUCUUCAAAAGAGUGUCAUAAGUAUUUGGACUACAUAUAAUGUGUUCAACUACCUCAUGCCUCCCUGGGCAUUUAGAUAUUGCAUAGUACAGUAACAUUAGUGUCUUAUUAACUACUGUUCACAGUCCCAGGCAAUUGCAUUUAAAGGCUGUAAACUAACUAGGGCAUUCCAUGCUAGUAAAGAGUAGGAUGUGCCAUGCACAAGAAGAGAGAGGUUAAUGAAGAACUUUUUGUGGUUCUUGGCUUUUCAAUUUGACCAGAUGGUGUGUAACUUGUUAGCUUGUACUUGUACAUUAGGUCAUAAUCAUUUGAUUCAUUGGUUUGUUCUCAGUGGUAGUGCAUUUCUCCUCUUUUUCAUGAGUAAGCUGAUAUAUGUGUAUUCUCUUUGUGGGCUAGGCAAGUUGAGUCUCAUUUUGGCUCGAGCGAGAACAUGGUCACAUCUCCUGUCCAUUUUCGGUCGGACGCCCGUGCAUGCUUCUAAGCAGGAUAGAACUAGCAACCUCUCCCUCGCAGAAGAGGCGCCCUACCAACCAGACUAUCAGGUGGUGGUGAUAUAUUUUUGCUUCGUAAGUUGUUAUUGGGGUUUGGUAUAUGUAACCUGGGGGUGCAUUUCACGUGUCUCACCUCAUGCAAUGUGCUCGGCUUGUUCAUAACUGGACCGGGCCCAACGUGGGCCCAGUCGAUGGUGACCUAUUAUUAACGCCAAGUACGGGUGGCGAAGGCCUUGUCCACUUGAUGGUCCCUCAAGGCCCAAAUGAAACUAGGUUCGGAACCGGAUUUGGUCCGUUACCCUCCGACACGAUCGAGGUUGCGACUGAAUUGAAUUCGGCGAGUGACGACCGAAUCCAAUGAUUUUGCUUAUUCUGAGAGUAAGUUAUUUACAUCUCUUUUUUGUGUGUGUGUUUUCGCUUAAACACACGAUACAAAGCCACACAAAUUCGAUUAGUUUCGGACUCAAUGUCCACAGAUAAACCCAAAAACCUAGUAGUUGAACCCAAAUCAAACCAAGGUGCUGUUGGGUGAACCAUCGGAUUUAUGGGUUUUACCUAAAACCCUAACGCGCAUGAUCGUAACUACAAAAACAUGUGUAUUUAAGCCCACGUUGCAUGAGAAAAAAGACUAAGCAUCUCUUUGUCGUUCUAUCCCUGUAUUAAGUUUGCGUGAUUGGGAUUACAAUGUAAGGAAGUCGCGUAUGAUAAAAGUGUUUCGAGUGACCGACCGUUCCUAGCAUAAGUGGAAAAGAGGAUGAAUAGCAUAAGUAGAAAAGAGGUUGAUAAUUGUUAUUCGAAAUUUCAGAUUCAAAGAUCAGUUGUUUUACAUUUUUAGUUAAGUUCAUUAAAUAAAAAAAAAGAAGAAGAAGAACAGGACAGGAGUGUGCUGUUAUUUUCUCUCAAAAAAUAAGAUAAAAUAUAGAGAAUUUACUUGAACUAUAGAUUAUUAUUUUGAAUUAACUAUUUAAUCUUUUUAAAUUUUGAUUUUACUAUCAAAUUUUUCAAUUUGUUUAGUUUGAGUCAGUCGGCGAUACUUUACUUUUAAAUUUUAUAUUACUUAGUUUAAUUAAUUUAUAGUUGUGAGAAUUACAUAUAAUAUACAAACUAAACAUGCAAAGAUAAACGAUGUAUUUAAAUUUUAAAACUAAAAUAUCGUUGACCGAUUCAAAUCAAAUAAGUCAAAAUUAUCUAUAAUUUAGAUGAGUUCUGUACGAUUUUACCAAAAAGCUAAUAAUAAUGCUUUGAGUGCCGUAUAAGGUUCAUUCUUAUUACUUAACUUCGAACCAAACAGUGGCUUAAAUAUUGUGUGAUAUUCACAGUGACUAAUGAUUUACCCCAAACUAAAUUACCAAGAAAACAUUGGCAACUCAAAUUUGUUAGGAAAUUAAGAUAAAGAGUUUUCCUUUGUACAAUAACACCUGAUCCUCCAUAACUUUUUUAUAUAAAAAAAAUUCCUUAAAAAUUGCACUCAACCAAUUCAAAUUAGGCUAUAUUUAAUUCUUUCCCCUCAUAAUAGUGAUCCCACAUGAUUAACACCCACAUAAAAUCACCUAAAAAUAGGUAGAAUAAACCAUCAUUAUGAAAUUUUACAUAUUAAGUAAUUCAUAAGUUUGCGAAGCUUCUAUAUUUGUAUGCCUCACAUGGAUGUUGUUUCUUAAGAGCAAAAAAUUUUAUUUGAAGGAAAAUUAAAAAAAGAAAGAAUAGGACUUAAAAAAGCCACACAGCGAAGUCCCACAACAUGAACAAGCAUUAAACUAAAAAUAUCAACCAAAUAUAUGCACACCCAUUUUGAUUAAUAUAUAUAUUUUAGGAACAAUUAUAUUCCUCCUUAAUUUCCUUUAACAAAAAUAACAGCUGGACCUAUUUUUUGUAGCUCAUUAAAUUGUAGCAUAAGAAUAGUAGUAGGUUUUUUUCGAUCAUCUUCUCAUUUUUUAGUUCAUUUUCAUUCCAAACAAGAAAUAUUAUUAUACACAUUAUAAUAUGCCACAACUUUUUAUUUAAAAUAAAAUGAAAAAAAAAAUUACUAAAAUCAAUGACUUCAUUAUGUUAAGAGUAAACAAAAAUCUAAAAUUUAAUCAGUUAAAACGAAAAUUACUCAAAAUAUACUAAAUAACCCAAACUAUAUAAGUAAACAAAAUUACUACAAUACACCAACCAAAAUUUAAAUCACCUCUCUAAUUAAAUCCCAACGUUCGAUUUUCUCCUUUCCAAAUCCAUUGUCGAAUCUCGACCGUUCAUUUCAUACACCACUCCAAAUCUGAUGGUUAUAUACGCUCUAAUUAAACCAUAGCAAAUAAAAAGAAACGGUUUUUUUUUUUUAGUCGCCUAUAAUGAAGAAGGGAGUUAAAGAUGUACUGCGUACAAGUGUAUACACGGCCCCGUAAUAGCCGUUGGAUUUGCUCCAAGUUUCCAUUUAGGGCACACGAAUCAUAAAGCGGUGGUAUUUACACGCCCCGGUAUUCGAAAACUUCGGUUACCGUUGAGUCGCCCGAGGCCCUCCACGUGUCCGGCAUCGCACGGUGCAGUUGGAAAGAAACGGACCUCGUCAGAGUUUGGUAAAUUGUGCGGAGAUCCCUCAACUACUGGAGAUUUGAAGUUGAUCCUCCAUUAUAUUUUGUGAGUUUUCGAGAAUUUUGGUUUAAAUUAUUUUCUCUAAAUAAUUUUAUUUUUUUAAAUUAGUAGUAUAUUUGGGAACUAAUAGUUACCGGUUAAAAUUUAUUAAAUUUAUCAAAUUACUGUUCAAUUAAAUAUUUUGUUAGAUCGAUAAUGUAAAAAAUAUUAAGAGAAUUUCAAUAAUAAUAUAUUGAGGAAGCGUGAUUUUAAAAUAUCUUAUAGAUGAGGGAGCGUCUACUUAAUUUACAUUUUUUUUUCCCGAAAUUAUUACCUAAGUGAUGUAACUUAUGAUUCAAUAAAUAAAUUUAUCAAAACAAGUUAUUAAAAUUAAAAAAUAUAUAUAUAUAAUUUAAUUAGUUAAAAAGCUGCAAUUAAGAUUAUUUAAAAGUUGAGAGAGACCAAAAACAAAAGAAUAUAGGGGGGUCCGUUCACAAAGUGCUGAUACUAGAGGGGGUAUUGUAUAAUUUUCCUCUCAGAGUUAUUACAAUGGCCCCGUGUACGUAGGCGGAGCACCGUAUCCUAAAACUCACCGCCCCACAACGGUAACCAACGACGACACACCACUAUAUAUAUCUCGACCCUCCCAUGCUCACCUCUCACAACCUUUUCCCCUUCUCUCGAUCGAUAUUUCCUAAGCUCCUCUGUUUCCAAAAACACUACUCAUCUCUUCUUGUUCUUUUGCGCUCUUUCGUUGAAACCAGAGGGAGAGGAAGAGAGAGAGAGGCAAUGGAGACGCUUAGAAGCUUCGUCGUUCUCUUUGUACUCUCCGUGUUCAUGGCUUUAAUGGCGUCUUCAGAAGCUUAUUUCUUCUACGUGGGAGGAAGAGAUGGGUGGGUUUUGAACCCUUCCGAGAGUUACUCUCAUUGGGCCGAGAGGAACAGGUUUCAAGUUAAUGAUAGCCUCGGUAUGUAUAGAUCAAAUCCGUCCUCUUAUCUUGUGUGAUUUUUGUGUGAUUCAUAUGAACUGGGCCAUUUUUUGUUGUUGUUGUUGUUGUUGUUGCUGUUGUUGUAGUGUUCAAGUACAAGAAGGGGGAGGACUCUGUUUUGGUGGUGAGAGAGGAGGACUUCGACAAGUGCAAUGUGAGCAACCCUGUAGAGAGGCGUGACACGGGGAGCUCUGUUUUCACGUUCGACCGAUCGGGGCCCUUCUUUUUCAUCAGUGGCGUGGAGGAGAAGUGCCUCAAGGGGGAGAAGCUCGUUGUAGUAGUGUUAGCCGUGAGGAGCAAAUCCCCUGUUACCCCUGCACCCACCUCUCCUUCCCCUGCUUCCCCUGUUUCUCCUGGAUCAUCUCCUUCCCCUGCUUCCCCUGUUUCUCCUGGAUCAUCUCCUUCCCCUGCUUCCCCUGUUUCUCCUGCACCAUCCCAUUCCCCUGUUUCCCCUGUUUCCCCUGUUUCGCCAACUCCUGCUCCUGCACCAUCUAAGAGCUCCCCUGUUUCCCCAACUCCAUCUCCUGCGCCAUCUAAGAGCUCCCCUGUUUCUCCAACUCCAGCUCCUGCGCCUUCGAAGCGCUCCCCUGUUUCUCCAACUCCGUCUCCUGCGCCAUCAAAGAGCUCCCCUGUUUCUCCAACUCCAUCUCCUCCUCCAUCUAAUAGCUCCUCCCCUGCUUCCUCCCCAUCUCCAUCAUCGCCUCCUCCCACUUCCACCAUCUCUGCGCCUUCGCCAAGUGCCGGGGCCUCUCCUGGGCCUUCCCCUGAUUCUUCCUCCUCUGUUUUGAUUGUGCCCGAGAUAGGGUUUGGUGUCCUGUUUGCGGUUUUGGGUGGUGGGCUUUUACUUUGAAGGCGAUGAUGCAUUGUUUGGUGUUUCAAUUGGGUGGUGAGAGGUGGUGUUAAAUUAUAUAACAAUAACAAGUGUUAUAGAUUGUUGGGAUUAUUAUUUAGGUUAGUGGGUUGUGAUCUUUUCUUUCUCUUUUUCUCUCUUUUUUUUUGUGUUUAUGUGUGUGUGUGUUCAUAUUAAUGUGGGUGCAAUGACAUUGGUUUUUGCUUCAAAUAAAAUUAUAAUUUCCUUGUGUAGAUUCUAUUAGAGAAUAUGCUUUGAUUUAUUUGUGAGUUAUGGAAAUGUUUUUAUUGGAGAGUUUCCUUGUUCUCUCCUUCUUUGUAUAUUGAACUGUAUUAUUUAGAUUCUAUCUCAAUCACUAAUUAUUUACUUUAUUUACAGUUAUUGAACUGUAUUAUUUAGAUUCUAUCUCAAUCACUAAUUAUUUACUUUAUUUGCAGUUCCAAUUUAAAAACUUUAUUUUCUAAUCUACAUUGUGAUCUACUACAUGCAUGAACUAAAUCGUGUGUUAAUAAUAUUAAAACCAAUUCGUAUUAUUAUCUUAAUUAAUUUCAGCAUUUAAAAAUGUCAGGAGAGAAGUGAAACUAAUAAGUGUACUAACAAAUUAUUCUAUAAUAUCUCGUUCACAAUUAUAUGAAUGACAAAAACAUAAAAUUCUCUACAUGUAAAUAAAAAAAAAAUUAAGUUUCAUCUUUUACUUGUUUAAAUUAGCAUUUUAAUUAAAAUGGGUGUUUUACUCUGAAUUACUCCACAGCAUUUGUAAUUUGUGGCGUUAAAAUAUUAUCUAAAACAUUAUUAUAAUAAGAUUUUACCAUGAGUACUAUCAAUAUUAACUUUUUAAUAUUAAGGUUAAUAAAUAAAUACUAUUUUUUUACUAGUUUCGUUCUUAUAAUAAUAUCUUUUCAACAAAAAAAUGGGGGUAAUAAAUCUCGAGAAAAUGCUUCUAUGCUCUCAAAUCUUAUUUUUAAUUUUUCAACACAUCAAAAAGUAUAAUUUUUUUAUUUGUAAAUACUUUAGCAUAAAUUAUUUUGUCAGUGUUAGAUGGUAUUGAAUACAGAACAAAACUAAGGUUUAGUUUGAUAUUGAGACCAAUAUGAUGUUAUUAGAUAAAAUAGGGUUGAACUAAAAGUAUAUACAAAUAUACUUCUGCGUUCUUCGAUAAAAUCGCAGAAAAUAAAUCGUAACCGGUUUAUCUCGAUAUGCGAAACGUAAUAUUAUAUAACAAAACAAAUAAAAUAUUUUUUUAUCGUAUUUUUCACCGUACCUUUAGCCAUGGAUGGGUCGCAUCAAAAAGAUUUUUUUUUUGGUUUUAUCCCUCGUGUCACCAAUCUUAGAAUAAUUGUACGGUAUAGAUACACCUUGGAUGCGCAGAUAUUUCCAAAAAUGGAAAUGCUUCAGGGACCAGUUAACCCAUCCGCGAGACUCCUUUCCCAAUAAGGAAAGAAAAAAAAGUAAUUUCAAAAAGAAAAUAAAGAAGUUCGAAGUAGAAUUAAUAGAAUUUAUUGAAUUUUUGUAAAUUUGAAAAAAAAUUUGUGAUUUGGUAACACAUCAUUUUUCAAUAAGCUAAAAUUUAACAAAAAAUUCUGUAAAUAAUUUUUUUUAUUUUUUCUUCCUAAGUUUUUAACAUUUAUGUUUUACUCUUUCCAGAUUUUAAAUUGAUGUUUCCUGUUCUCCUUUGCCGAUGUUUCGUCACUAUUCCGUCUAUUUAUGUAAUUUAUAUCGGAUUUUUUUUUAAAAUAGCAAGAAUAUAUUAAAGAUUUUUUUAAGAACAAGUAUUAAGUGUAACGGCAACAUGAUCAUUCUGUCCUUUUUAUUAUUAUCGUAAUUUUCUAAAAAAUAAUUUAAAAUUUUUAAAUUGGCAAAAUAUAGAUUUUCAAAAAAAAUUUUAAAAAAAUAAAAAAAUGGAUAUUUAUAGAAAAUUUUGCAUUUUAGUCUUUCCAAUAUUAUAUUAUACCAUAUUAAUCAUCCUAAAUUAUUUUAGGAAAAAAGCUCACCAUUCUCUUCAAAGAAUGAAUGGAUGGAUUAUGAAUCAGAUCGAGAAUGGGCACCUCCUAAAAACCGACGGCUCAUGAUGUGCAUCAAAAAUCGUACAGAGGGCCAUGCAUUGCCCGGGUGCUGCAGAUCGGGGGCAUGCACAGAUCUUAAUUCUUGCGUGAUAUGAUUGCAUGUCCUUGUGAUCAAGCUUUUUUCAUAUAGAUAGAUAUAUAAUACAUCUCUCUAACAUAAUAAUAAUAAUAAUAAUAAUAAUAAUAAUAUUCUCCACAUCUUCAUUUGGCGUAUGUUAACUCAUCUCUAACUUAGGUCUCGUCUGGUCCAGCUGAAAAAGUUUUGUAACUUCUUCAAAAUCUUUAAUUUUAGUUAUUUAUAUAAAAUCCACAAGCUUUGUAGCUUCUUCAAGAUCUUUAUAUUUCUGUAGUUAUUUGUGUAAAAUUCACAAUCUUUGUAGCUUCUUCAAGAUCUUUAUUUUUCUGUACUUAUUUGUGUAAAAUCCACGCAAAUAAUUUACUCAAACAGCUACUUAGAUCUUAGUUGGAGAUUAGUAUUUUAAAAGCAUCUGCUUUUAUGUUUUUAUAAGACUAAUCAGAUAAUCUGUUUACUCUUUGGGCACUCUUUAAAAAGUUUUGCUCUGUUUUUUUAUUCCCCCUUGAGAGAGAGAGAGAGAGAGAGAGAGAGAGAGAGUUUUGGUCAUUCACCUAUUACAAUCACCAAAUAUUCCCUGCCACCACUUUUGAAGUUUGGUAAAGAAAAAAAGUUUUUUUUUUUUUGUUUUUGUUUUUCCUCCCGGAUCUCAAAACAAGCAAACAUUCAUUCCCCACCCACCCCAUCUCAUUCUCCCCCCACUCCACUCCAUUCCAUUCCAUUUUGCCAUAUUCAUGUAAACACCCCCCUCUUUCGCAUUUGUGAGAGAAGAGCCCCCAUUUUAGAGAGAGAUAAAUAGAUACAUAGAUAGAGAGAGAGAGAGAGAGAGAGAGAGAGAGAGAGAAGGGGAUCAAAAUGGGGAGGGGGAGAACAGAGAUAAAGAGGAUAGAGAACCCAACGCAGAGGCAAUCAACUUUCUAUAAAAGAAGGGAUGGGCUGUUCAAGAAGGCCAGGGAGCUCUCCAUCCUCUGCGACGCAGACCUGCUGCUCCUCCUCUUUUCCUCUUCAGGAAAGCUCUACCAUUUCCACGCCCCCUCUGUCCCCAGGUACGCAGUUCGAAUGUAUCAGAGCAGAAGGUUCUGAGUUCGAGUAUCACCAAACCACCAUAUGCGUCAUUUAAUUAUUUAUAUAUCUCGAGUCCAGACGCGAGGGCGGAGUGUUGAACUGAAGCUGAAGCUGAACCCAGUCUUUUUUUUUUUUUCUUGUUGUUUUAGUGUUAAGGAUUUUAUCGAGAGGUAUGAGAUGGCCACCAAUACUAAGAUUUGGAAAGAUUACCAUUUGGUACAGUAUAUUAAUCUCUCUUUCUCUCUUUCUCUCUAGUAUGAUUAGGUUCUUGUAGAUUGAUUGCUAUAUAUUUAUGUUGUUUAUAACUGUUUUAUAGGAGAGGGAUGCAGAGAUCGAGAAGGUUCAGAACUUGUGUGAACUAAUGGAGAAAGAACUAAGGUACAACCAACCAUUUUUUACUUUUUUUUGUUUUUUGUUUUUCUAAACAUAUAUAGUUCCAUGCAUCUUUGUAUAAUCCGUGCAACGAAUAACAAAAAUGGUGCAAUAAAUUUGUUUUAGCUAAUAAUAAUGACAUGAAUCGAGAAGCCAUGAGUUUUGAGUGAAAUAAAAAAAAGGACAGUGAAACCAAAUGAAGUGCAAGUUAAAAACAAACUUGGUUAGAAUUUGAAUGAUCUUUUGAGUGAAAUUUUGAGUUAGCUUAUUAUAUUUUGGAGAUUAAAUGUACAAAAAUAAGAACUUUGGUGGUAAUGUGGUUGCAUAGAUUCAUGAAGGUUGAUGACAGAGAGCACUACACACUGCCCACUCUGGACAUGUUGGAGCACAACCUGGAAGCAGCCAUCAGCAAGGUUAGAUCAGAGAAGGAGAGAAAGAUGGGAGGCGAAAUCAAUUUCCUCGAAAAUAUGGUACUUCUCAAUAACAUAAAGAAUCACUUAAUUGCCUAUUAUUUUGAGCAUGUGUGACAAAGUGUACAUUUUAGUUAUAUAUUGAGCGCGCCGAAUUCGCAGGUCAGAGAUAAGCAAGAAGAAAGAUUCGGUUUAUCUGAGAAGGUAAGAGGAGCAUUGACGUACCCCGCAAUCUUUAACAUGCAUGUUAAAUCUACUAGAGUUGCGAUUUGAUCUUAUUAUCGUAAAGCCGAUUGGUUCUUUGGUUUGACACAUACAUGUAAAGCGAUUGCGGGUACAAAUUUAUUGUCUUUCCUUUUUACUGACACGUUUGUUUAUUUAGUCAUCGGCAAAUAUUUACUUUUUAAGCUCUUCUUCAGCUAGCUCAGGUGCAGACGCUUAAGAACAUGGGAGGAGGAUCAACCUCAUUCAGCCAUGGAUUAGACCUUAAAUUAGGUUCUUGUCGUAUCCUGUUACGAUUAGCGUUUAUUUUGCCUGGUUUUUGAAGCAACUUUUAAAUUUCUCUAUACCGAGAAACCGAAUUUUUGAGCGUUCGACAGACGCAGUUUGGAAUUUUCGUGCUGCGAGGAAAUUGAAAUUGAAUCGAGCUUCUGAAAGAGUCUUCGCAUUUCAUUAUUCUUCGCUUAUUUUUUUUUCCCUUUUCCAUUUCGAUGCAGGGUUUAAUUGAGCAUGGAUGCUGCAUUGAGACAUGGUCAAGAGAUCAAUCAAUGCUUGAAGCCUAAUUACAUCUUAGUGGAUUACUUAUUAGGGUUUGUAGAAAUUCUCUAGUUGUUUAAUAUAAUAUGUGAUGAAAGGAAAUAUUCUGUACCUGGAGUACCUUCUUUUGUAAACAUCCUUUUGAAAAUUAAGCUUUUGUUGACUCAUAAUUUCCCUCUGAUACCAACAAUUUUCUUUUAAAAAAAAACUUGAAUAUUCUGAAAUGUUUGAUGAAUGAUCCUGCAGUGUCCUGUGAACAUUGGCUCAGGGUGCUUGCUCUCUCUUGCUUAUAUGCCCAGGAAAUAAUAUUGGAAAUUGACAUUUUUUUUAGAGAGACAUUUUGUGCUUUGUAGCUUGUACAUUAAUUAUAGUAAUCUAUAUGUAUCAAAUUAGUUAAUACUAAGAUUACACUACUAUAUACCAUGAUUAUUUGGCCCAACUAAAUAAGAUUAAGUUUAAAUGAGGCCAAACUGUUCAAACCACAAGAUUAAAAAUAAAAAAACCUCCAAUUGAACUAUACCCCAAUUACACUUACAACUGGUCCUGUGGAAACAACUACAAGUUUGAAGAACAUAAAUAGUAUAUAUAAUAAGGAAACAACAGAGCAAGCUAGUGAGAAAAGAUUUAAACAAGAAUGAUCCUAUGCUCACAAAUUCUGUAUAAACUUCCUACAAGCUCGUGUGUUUUGAGUAUCUGGAUUUAUUUCUGACCAAUGAAAUAUGACUUGCCUGAUUCAGUUUGCAGAAAAUUUGUAAAAGUGUUUGUAAGCAUAGCAUUACUCCAUAAAUUAAAGCUCGAUUCGAAUGAUUACGCGCUCUUAAUUAGGUUUUUUUGCCAACAGAUGCUUCAAGGAUCCUCUCAAAAGAUUUCUCCAUGCAUGAGACCAAGAGCUCAGAAUUUAUAAACCCCUUCUCUGCUCCCACUGCAAUUUUGAGCUGUCCCAUGUAGCUAAGAGCAGUUACUGUGAGACUCUGCAAACAAACCAUUAAUGAUGAGUACGAUUAAAUCACUUUGUAGAUGAAAUAUAUUAAUUAUUCUAUGCCGUCGUCGCAGCGACGGAACUAAAAAAAAAAAAAAAAACUUGUUCUGACGUUCAAACAGGAGAGCUAUUACUUACCUGAGGUGAACCCACCACCAUGAAGUAAAGGCUCUUGACAGGGUGCCCAGCAAUAGACAUCUUCUCUACAGGCCCAGGUAGGUUUGUGAUCCCCAUGCUCGUGUUCCUCAGUGUAGCAUGUAGGUAACGAGCUGCGGCCUACGUGAUGAAAUAUGAUAUAAAUGAGUUUCUGAUAAAUUUAUGAUGUACGAACAAACAGACGAACUAGAUAUGUAGCAUGCGCACGUACCUCAGCUCCUCUGAGCUUCCUGAGAGCCUCGAGCAAGUGCCCGGUGAGGAACACGGCGAGGGACGCCCUCUUCGCCUUGAUGGUCCUCUUCGCCUCCAGCACGAAGCUCACCGGAUCCGCCGCGCUGGCGUCGGCCCCGCACGAGGGGACGGAGACGUGGAGGAAGGCGAAGUGGUUGCCCCAGGGCGACUUGGUCCUCCCCCGCGUCAUCUCCGCCACGCUCUGGUAGCCGGUGACGAGCCUCGUGUUCAGCAGAACCAGCGCCGUCAUCGCCGGCUGCUUCUCGUCGCCGCCGCCGUUUUUCUGAGCAGCUUGAACGUAGAGCCGGGUCGCGUAGAACAUCACGCCGGCGACCACGUCGUUCACGGUCUGUUAGCAGGCGCAACAGAAGGAUGAACAAAAAUAUAGUGGAGACGGUCUCCAACGUGAGACUGUAUCAUUCGUUGACUCUGACGUUGUUUAGUUACCAAUUUGACAUCCACUAAAACUACUUAUACUCACGGCGCCGAGCUUAUCCUUGAUCCUCUUGAUGUCCUCCAUCGCAAAAGCCACCGCGGAGAUCUCCACGGGGAGGAACUCGACGCCGGCGACCCCCGACCGCAGCGCGCUCCGGCCGUCCUCCAGCGCGUUGCUCUUCAGCAGGCUCCACCCGAAGUCGCGCACCGUGUUGAACCCGACCGCCACCCCCCGCCGCACGCUGCGCCAUGCCGCGCUCGCCUUACCCCCCUCCUUCCCCGCCGCCGCCGCCGCCGUCCCCGGCCCCCGCGGCUUGUAGUGGGGGAACGUGAGCGGCCGUGAGGGGUCGUCGGCGCGCCGCACGCACGAGAAGAUGGCUCCCAUGAGGGAGUAGCCGUCGCCGAGGGCGUGGUGGAGCUUCAGCACCACCGUCGCCGCCGCGGCCGCCGUCGGGUAGUUCAUGAUGUGCAGGUCCCACAGGGGACGAUUCUGGGGCAGCUUAUCGUUGGCUAUCUUUGUCAUGUACUGUUUCACUUGCUUGUCGUAGGUAGUUAAGCCCCCCGGGAACGUGGGGGAUUUGACGUGCUGAUUUAGAUCAACCGCAACGCGUUCCCACCGUUGGUUCCCGUGAUCGUCCCGAACCUGAGAUCAUAUAUACAUGUGUAUACAUUAAUGGAAAAAGAAAAAUGUAUAAUAAUAUCUAAUAAUUAAACUUGUGUAAAUUUGUUUAUAAGUAUAACAUUCUUCGUGAGAAAUAUUCAUGUUCCAAUUACAGUGUAGGGGUGGUGGGUGACAAGCAUUUUAGUAGAGAGAGAGAGAGAGAGAGAGAGUUUUUGUUGGCUAUGAAUUAAAAUAGGUCAAAUUUUAUGCCCCGUAAUAAUAGACCAAAGAGGUUAAUAAGUUGAGUAGGUGUGUGGUUUAUCAUAGACUUAAUGAUAAGAGGCCCAACAGUAGACACAACGUCUAGAUAGGUUGAGUCAAGUCGCAACCUGCGAGUGCUGUGGUUGAGCCCUUAAGUGUAAUAAAUGGGCCCUUCAUAUCAGCACGUACUUUCGGAAUAAUUAGUUAGCACUUAUGAUCCACAGUUUCACGUACUUUCGGAAUAAUUAGUUAGCACUUAUGAUCCACAGUUUCAUCUUUUUCUUUUUACUUUUUUUUUUUUUGAGAGAGAGAUAGGGUUGUGAUAUGGGCCGUGCUGAUUGGGCCCAUAUUUGUAUGAUCUUAGCCAUACAAAGACAAGUGGAAGAAAGAUUCGGGCCAGAGCCUUAGAAAUUGGAUCAUGCAGUACUGGACCAGCCUUCCAGAAUUUGUGGCCCAGCAUGGAGCUUAUCAGAUGAUAAAUUGCUUACGGUGACUAUGUAUUUACUAAAGAUUGUUGGUAAAUCAGUAUUUUUUAUAUAAUAAUAUUAAAAUUAUAUUGAAUAUUUAAAAUAAUUAAGAGAUGAAAUAAAAAAAAGAAAUAUAUCCUCUUUAAAACCCAAGAUUCCAUUUGACUGUUUCGCUACAAGCCACGUCAGUAUUUCCAUUUGAAAAGUUUCUAUUUGAAAAAAUAAAAGUGAAAUAUACUCUUUAAUAAAAAGCCAUGUUAGUAUUUCCAUUUGAAAAGUUGAAAUAAAAGUGAAAUAUCCACUUUAAAAAAGUAAAAAUUAACAUUGUAGAAAUUUAAAUGCAAUUUAAGAAAAAGUAUUAAUUAGAAUAUCCCAUAAAAUAGUUUUCACGAUGGAAAAGCAUUUCCCAUCAUUUUUUCCAUAGCUUUCAUUUUAAUAUGAAAAUAACUUUUCCAUAGUUUCCAUGCUUUUCCACAGCAACAGACACCCUUUAAUGUUUUCAUUAAUAAUUAAUUUCCUUCUUUCUAUGUUUUUUAACAUUUUUUGACAAUUAUGGGCGGUAUCUAAAAUUUUUUAUAUAUAAUUUAACGAAAUCUUAACGAUGAGCUGACAAAAGAAAAAAAAUGAAAUCAUAUGGUACUAAAUUAAUACACUUUAAAUCAUAAGGUACUAAAGUGAGAAAGUGCGAAACCACAGAGAUGGCAUUUGAAGUUUAUCCAAAAAAAUAUAUACAAAGUUUACAUUAAAAUCAUCUCUAGGUUUCAACUCUUUUACAAUAAAAAUAAUAAACAAAAUAAAAGUUAUGGCGUAUAUGCAGAUAAUGUUUUUAUUUAGAUAUAACUCUUUGUUUGCACUUUACUCAUCUUGAUGUUAAAUUUUGAAAAAAAAUAUAUAUGGUUAUUAAUUUUUUGCUCUCUUAUUAUUUAAAUCUUAUUAAUAAUUUUAGCGUUUAAAACAAAUAUAGAAAAUCAUAAAAAAAAAUACUUUAACAACCAUAACCAAAUACGUACAUGUAGGAAUUUACAUUUCUUUAGACCUUUUUUUUUUCUACUUUAGAAAUGGAAGAAUGAUAUCAAUUUUUAGUAUUUUAAAGUUUUUGUAGUUAUUAAUAAUUUAUAUAAAAGAAAAACUUAUGUAAAUUUUAUUAGCGUGUGACAUCUGAUAUUACGUAUAAAAUCAUGUUAACCGAACUAUAAAAAGAUAGAUUUUAAGAAAGAUACGAAACAAGCUCGAUCUGAUACCAUGAUAGAAGAGAAGCGCGGAUGAAGGGUUAUGAAGACGUUCUCCAACGUCGACAUAACCGGAGCCUCGUCGAUGGCGACUUCGGAUUCGAAUAUGCCGAGGAUGGAGAUGGAGAGCGCGUCGCUGUUGAAGUAUUGGCCAAUGGGGCUCACUGGCGCCUCCAUGGCUUCUUCUUCUUCUUCUUCUUCUUCUUCCUCCUCUCUCUUCAUCGCCAACUCUUCACCACCCUUCGAGGCUACGGCCAUUGAAGUAGUACCAGAAAAGGAAAAUGGUAGUUUAAGGUGGUUUACUGAACUCCAUUCUCAUGAUGGUGUUUUAUAUUGUCCUUGCCGGCGAAAAUGCGAAAUGAGCCCCUCCGCUAUCGGUCGUUUUGAAUUAGGUCCCAAAAAUCGACGGUGUUGAGCACAAUUGGCUAAGAGCCUGAUGGCCUGAUGGGGUUUAAUAUCCCAAGUUCGAAGCUUAGUUGCUUUACAUUUUAACUGAGUUUAUAUUAAUUUUUUUAAGAAAAAAUUAAUGAAACAGAUAACUUGCUAGUUUUUUAAGGAUAAAUUUUAAAUACUAUUCAUGUGGUUUUUCACUCUCACACUUUAAUACCCAGUACGUGGUUUAAAGUGUAUCAAUUUAGUACCAUAUAGUUUUAUUUUUCUUUUUUUGUCAGCCCUUCUGUUAACUUUUUGUUAAAUUGUUUGCAAAAAACUUCAGAUACCCACCUAUAGUUUAUCGAAUAUUCACUUUAGUAUUCUUUAGAUUUAACUUUAUCACUUAUGUAACGAAAAAAAAUAAUAGAAGUGAUAACAAAAAGAAAAAAAAUAAAAUUGCAGGGUACGAAAGUAAUACACUUCAACCACAGGGUACUAAAAUGAGAAAGUGCGAAGUGACAGGAAUGGUAUAUAGUCUAAAGUUUAAUUAAUUAAUUGUCUAUAUUAAUUGUGUUAACAAUUAUAAUUUCUUUUCUGAAAACUGAAGCAACGGGAUGUAUAUAGUCAUAUUCAACACUCUUUCUCGACAAGUUAAUUAUAAUCCAAACUUAGUCAAAGAGCUUAGGUAUAUAUAUGUAAAAAAUUUCAUAGUUAGAAUAGUAUUGAGAAUUUGUAUUCAUGUAAGAGUUGGUUUAAUUAUUAAUAUAUAGGAUAGGAGUUGUCAUGGUUUGCUUACCUACAUGUAGGUGUUAGGUGACCUUGGAGCUGUGUUGGGUGCAAUGGCCGAGACUAAAUGAGCUCAGUUUAGUUAGAGAGAUGUAUGCUAGGUGUGUUAGUGUUUUCGAUUCAUAAAGUAUAUAUAUUUAAUGUGUAGUUAUCUUCUUUCUCAAAUAUUAAUUAUAUCUUUUGGGAAUGUGAUGCUCGCCCGAAGCCAGAAUUUGAUAAUUUGCAACUUGUUCUGAUACCGACUGCUCUUGGUCUUGUAUUCAUUUCGGUACCGACUUUUGGGAUUCAGAUUUUGUCAAAUUAGAUUUUUAUCAUAACUACAUCUCCUUAGUAAAGGUUAUUGCUGACACAACUAUAACAAAAGAAAGCCAAAUAGAAAAAUAUACAGGUGAAAUAAGAUUCAUUAACCAAUAAAACAUUGUACAUGACUCAUAUUCUGCAGUAGAAUAGUUUCGAUUUAAAUGCUAUUUCUGAAUCUCUCAUCUCUCUCUCGUCUUUCAUAAACUAAAAAAAAGCUUCUUCUCUUUUCUUUCUCAUAUGCACCCGUAAAUCUUGGUGCAUGCAACCAGGCCUAGCUUUUCUCUUUGGUAGUUAGGCAAGGGAGCCUUCAUUAAGAGCAUUGCCGUAGCAACUAGAUGCUCACAUGCCGUCGAUAAUGAAAAAAGUAAAAUCAGCGGCUUGUUUUCACUAUCCAGAUUGACUCAGAUACUGGUAAACCGGAUCACUACUUUAUUGAACUCAGUCAUAUGCUCAUACGGUCUGGCCGUCUCUUGUAUCCACAAUAUGAACAGUCUCUAUUUUAGAUACAGUCUGUUCGUCAAAAAUUUGUCAUAUACAAAUCUUCUAAUUUCUUCUACAAUUUCGCUGUUGUAUAUUUACUGACUAAUUUGUAAAAUAAAUCUCAUAUGCUAAUGAUAGAUGAAACAUAUUCAGCGCCUUCCACUCAUCUUUCUCAUGCUGCAUCCGCAACCUCCAACGGCUUUGUCUUUUGCGUGUUCUACAUCUUGUCCAAUUUUAUUAUGCGAGGAUUGCUCAUAUUUUUGCCGUCAAAUUUCUCGAUUUCAAACUUUAUGGCCAUUUCCGUCGAUCUCACCGUCAAUCUCAUCCAACAAUCUGUAACCUUAAUAUCUAAAUCUAAGUUAAUUGAUCUCUAAUGAAUUUAAAUAUUUAUCCCAAUUCAACUAAAAAUUAACUACAAAUCUAUCCAAAAUCUUAACAGUAUCUCUUCUAAAAAUUAUUGUAUUUUAGUAUUUUUCAUGGUCGGUUAUAUAGUUCGUAUCAAAGCAUAAUAAUGCUUCCAAAUUUCUGUUUUUUUUUUUUUUUUUUUUUUUUUUCAAACGUAAUGGUUCAAAAAUAACCUCUCUAGCCAGAAAAGUAGUGCUCAAUAUAUACCAACACUACCUGGUGUACGUAAGGCCCAUUUAUUUUACACAAGUUUUAUCAUACUUUACUUUUCUAAUAUUAAAAAUGUAAACAAAUAUUUAUUCAUAUUCUUAGAUGAAUGAAAUAUUAAAUUUGUGUACAACUUUUGGAUGUACUACAAAUAGCAUUUCUUUUUCUAUAUAAGUACAAAUAGUGUUUCUCUUUCCACUUAUGUUUUGAAAGUAAAAUAAAUACUUUCAAAAUAAACGGUUGAAAAUAAUAAUCUCAUAAAAAAAUAAUAAAAGAUUUAAAUUUCAUAUCAGAGAUACUGCACUUUUUUUAAAUACCGAAAAAAAUUUCUAUCAAAAUUUUAUCAGAUUUGAAUUGUUCUAAACCGUGAAACUUACGAUUGCAUAUUUGCAUCACAUUGGUCAAUUUUGAGACCUAUUGAUCAUUAAUCAACUGAUGUCGAAAAAAUAUGAAAUUUAUUUUUUAAGAUUAAUUUCAUACAUAUUCCUACAAAUAUAGUGAAUGACAAAUAUAUUCCUACAAAGUUCGACUUUUAUAUGUUGUUUCUAUAAAAGUUCUAAUAUUUUCAAAUAUAUCCUUUUGGAAGUUGUUACCGUUAGAGAAUCGUUCAUAUUUUCAAUUUUGCCAUCAUAAAUAUGUCUCUUAAAAAAUCAUAACAGUAUAAUAUAAGAAGGGUAAAAAAGUCAAAAACUAAUUAAGGUUAAGUAUUUUUUUAACGGAUUCUAACGACAGUGAUAUAUUUGAAAACAUCAGGACUUUUGCAGGAACAAUAUAUGAAAGUUGAACUUUAUAGGGAUAUAUUUGUCAUUCAUUAUAUUUACUAGAAUCUGCAUAAAAUUAAUCCUAUUUUUUAUAUCCUGUCAGUCUACCAAUCUGAUAAUCAAUUCGUAUAUUCCAUCAUCGAAAAUAACUUACGAGGUGUAAA
rnacentral:lncRNA from 1 species